GGUUAAUGUGGUCAACCUCGGUAUAAAGAUCACCCCGCUAUUCAGACCAUUUUCACUCAGUCCCACAGGUGGUCAUAAUAGAGAGGUUUGUUGUUGUUCAUAUUUACUCAAAAUCUUGGUAUUUUUAUUUAUAUACAUACAUUUGUACAUAGAUAAGUUACAGAGAAGUUAAAGAUAUGGGGACAAUGAGACGGACACGAACAUUCCAGUUAAUAUAAACACAUCCAUUAUUAUCAAAUUAGCGUAAAUGUUUUCAACGUUUAAACAAAAUCUAUGAGCCUAGUGUAUGUAAAUUUCUAAGAGGUUAGCGAUUUAGGGACAGCGAGGCAAAGACGAAAUUACAUAUUAAAAUUCCAGUUAAUAUUAACACAUCCAUAUUGAUCAAAUUAUUGUAAAUGUUUUCAUCCUUAAAAAAUAUUAAUGAGAACCAGAAAAAAUAACAUCCACAGAUACGACAUGUACCUAUUAAUUUAAGCAAACAGACCAACUGCAUCGCUCUGGGCCUCAAAUUCACAUGACGUACUACAUACUACUCAAUACAAUAGUUGUUUCAGGUUUUAAGUAAUAAAUUGAAUAAAAAGGGUGUUUUUGUACUGGUCUACAUGUUUAUAUUAAUUACAUAUAUCGAUGCUUACUUAUGGCAAUAGUCACAGUAAAUUAGCAUUUGAAUUAAUCAAAUUACGACAUGUAAUUCAUAGUAUUAUAUCAUUAUCAUUAUAUUUUAUAUCAUAAUAUUACGUUGAUCACUCUCCUUUUUACAGGUAUUCGUAUGACGUACUGAUACAUAAUCACAUGCUGGUAUUUUCACCUACGGGACGAAAGGCCUACGGGAUAAAUCAACUGAACCGAACAUGUGGUUUUAAAGUUUAUAAAUGGCUUUGAUGAUAUCAUUUUUAUUCCUCUAAAUAUUUCUUUAUAUAUUUAUAUGUAUGUGUCAUAUACUCGGAUUUGAUUAAUUGUUUUAAUUAGACUGAUUUAAACAUCCUCUUCCUUGUCUACACCUAUACAUGAUUUACCUACAUUAUUACGUUGUGAAACAGAUUCCAAGAAUCUGAAAGGAUUGUAUGAUGUGAAAGCAUCCUGUUACAUUACAUACAGUGUCGCCGGAGUAGGGGAGAUAACCUCGUACCUUAUACUCCAUAUCGAGCAGGAAAACGGUUAGUCUAAAUUGGAAAUUUGGUUUCAGCAAAAUGAUUAGACAAUAGACAGUGUCUUUAUAAGUCUUGAGAGGUUUGAAAUUCGUAGGUACACGCACGGGAAUCCUUGGAUGAGGAUCCGUGGGUUGGGAUUCAUUUGAGAUGGUUCGUGUGUCGGAAUCCGAGGGUGGGGAUCCGUGGGUGGGGAUCCGUGAGUGGGGUUCCGAGGGUUGGGGAUGUAACUAAAUUAUACUACUCUUUCUGCCUCAUUAACGCAGAAAAGUUGUAAGUUUAUUGUCAGACACUGUCCUACAUAUAUGUAUAUUUAUAUACGUUUAUUUAAUUUCCAGUGAUCCGUGAGAAAGGUGGUCACAACUGAUUGACAUGUUAUUGUGGAUAUCGGCCUAAUGGCGAGUGUAGAUAACGGAAUGAAAACGUCACAAGUAAGGUUUGUUUCCGGUACUUUGUCCCACUUCCUUUAUAACAUCGCCUCUGGAGUAUUGUCAACACACAGAUAACGGCAGAUCCAAGAAAUAUGGCGACUAUAAUUAUUGAAAUUUUCGGAAGUGGAUAAAUAUUCGACGGUAACGGAAAUACAACAGACUUAGAAAAAAUUAUCAGAGAGAGAAAACAAACAAUUGAGAAUCCGACACGCUCUCCGGAAUCUGCCGGCAGCAAGAAUACCAAUAAAUUUAGUAUGCAAACCAUGAUAAUUGGUGAAUAUGCCAUCAACUGGUAUAAUCCAUGUUUCCUGGAGAUUUGGAUCUCGACGUUAACGUAAACUUUGUUUCUCUUAUCAACAACCGCUACUGAGGACGAUAUGUAAUUCCAAAUGUCAUUUUUUACUAUAUCGGUGACGUCAACAGUCGAUGUAGCCGGAAUGAGCCGCAAUUGCGAUGACGUCAGUCCUAGGGGCGAGAGAACAAUUGAACACGUAUGAACGUCAAAUGGAUAACCAGUGACGUCAUAAUUACAUAUUGCCCUUAGUUUGUCAUCAAAAGUCCAGACGGCGGUCCCGUCAUAUACAAACCGUACGUCGUGGUUUGAAUGAUCUGAAUUAUCCGAGGAGUCGAAGUUAUUGAUCACAGUGAACUUUGGUGUCCAAACAGAAUGACUCGGAACAGUAAUACUGAACGCAUCUCCGCGCAUGCUCGGCGUCCAUGCCAUCCUUGGGUCAUUCCACUGAGUAGUGACACUUCCUAUAACAGUAAACUCUCCCGUUGUCAUGUCAACGGUCUUGAUGAAAUUCAAACUGAAUGUCAAGGUCAUAUUUGUUGUCUGCUGCUGGUCGAUGGCUGUCGGACGUAUCCUGACAUCAUAUCCUGUUAGCAAGUCUGUGUAGAGUGACGUCACAUCCGCUAUUGUUUCUGCUGUCACGACCUUCACAUCCAGUGAAAUUAAAAAAAUCACUAUUCUUAAUAAGAUCUGUGACAUGUUUUUGUGUUUUUGUUAACAUGACAUUCCACCGGUGUGUCCGAUUCCAGCACACACUUCGUAAUUAAACCUCAUCUCAGACCUA